rnacentral:rRNA from 1 species
CUAAGGUCCCAAAGUCAUGGUUAAGUGGGAAACGAUGUGGGAAGGCCCAGACAGCCAGGAUGUUGGCUUAGAAGCAGCCAUCAUUUAAAGAAAGCGUAAUAGCUCACUGGUCGAGUCGGCCUGCGCGGAAGAUGUAACGGGGCUAAACCAUGCACCGAAGCUGCGGCAGCGACGCUGAUGCGUUGUUGGGUAGGGGAGCGUUCUGUAAGCCUGUGAAGGUGUGCUGUGAGGCAUGCUGGAGGUAUCAGAAGUGCGAAUGCUGACAUAAGUAACGAUAAAGCGGGUGAAAAGCCCGCUCGCCGGAAGACCAAGGGUUCCUGUCCAACGUUAAUCGGGGCAGGGUGAGUCGACCCCUAAGGCGAGGCCGAAAGGCGUAGUCGAUGGGAAACAGGUUAAUAUUCCUGUACUUGGUGUUACUGCGAAGGGGGGACGGAGAAGGCUAUGUUGGCCGGGCGACGGUUGUCCCGGUUUAAGCGUGUAGGCUGGUUUUCCAGGCAAAUCCGGAAAACUAAGGCUGAGGCGUGAUGACGAGGCACUACGGUGCUGAAGCAACAAAUGCCCUGCUUCCAGGAAAAGCCUCUAAGCAUCAGGUAACAUCAAAUCGUACCCCAAACCGACACAGGUGGUCAGGUAGAGAAUACCAAGGCGCUUGAGAGAACUCGGGUGAAGGAACUAGGCAAAAUGGUGCCGUAACUUCGGGAGAAGGCACGCUGAUAUGUAGGUGAAGUCCCUCGCGGAUGGAGCUGAAAUCAGUCGAAGAUACCAGCUGGCUGCAACUGUUUAUUAAAAACACAGCACUGUGCAAACACGAAAGUGGACGUAUACGGUGUGACGCCUGCCCGGUGCCGGAAGGUUAAUUGAUGGGGUCAGCGCAAGCGAAGCUCUUGAUCGAAGCCCCGGUAAACGGCGGCCGUAACUAUAACGGUCCUAAGGUAGCGAAAUUCCUUGUCGGGUAAGUUCCGACCUGCACGAAUGGCGUAAUGAUGGCCAGGCUGUCUCCACCCGAGACUCAGUGAAAUUGAACUCGCUGUGAAGAUGCAGUGUACCCGCGGCAAGACGGAAAGACCCCGUGAACCUUUACUAUAGCUUGACACUGAACAUUGAGCCUUGAUGUGUAGGAUAGGUGGGAGGCUUUGAAGUGUGGACGCCAGUCUGCAUGGAGCCGACCUUGAAAUACCACCCUUUAAUGUUUGAUGUUCUAACGUUGACCCGUAAUCCGGGUUGCGGACAGUGUCUGGUGGGUAGUUUGACUGGGGCGGUCUCCUCCUAAAGAGUAACGGAGGAGCACGAAGGUUGGCUAAUCCUGGUCGGACAUCAGGAGGUUAGUGCAAUGGCAUAAGCCAGCUUGACUGCGAGCGUGACGGCGCGAGCAGGUGCGAAAGCAGGUCAUAGUGAUCCGGUGGUUCUGAAUGGAAGGGCCAUCGCUCAACGGAUAAAAGGUACUCCGGGGAUAACAGGCUGAUACCGCCCAAGAGUUCAUAUCGACGGCGGUGUUUGGCACCUCGAUGUCGGCUCAUCACAUCCUGGGGCUGAAGUAGGUCCCAAGGGUAUGGCUGUUCGCCAUUUAAAGUGGUACGCGAGCUGGGUUUAGAACGUCGUGAGACAGUUCGGUCCCUAUCUGCCGUGGGCGCUGGAGAACUGAGGGGGGCUGCUCCUAGUACGAGAGGACCGGAGUGGACGCAUCACUGGUGUUCGGGUUGUCAUGCCAAUGGCACUGCCCGGUAGCUAAAUGCGGAAGAGAUAAGUGCUGAAAGCAUCUAAGCACGAAACUUGCCCCGAGAUGAGUUCUCCCUGACUCCUUGAGAGUCCUGAAGGAACGUUGAAG